rnacentral:rRNA from 1 species
AACGAACGCUGGCGGCAGGCUUAACACAUGCAAGUCGAGCGCCCCGCAAGGGGAGCGGCAGACGGGUGAGUAACGCGUGGGAAUCUACCCAUCUCUACGGAAUAACGCAUGGAAACGUGUGCUAAUACCGUAUACGUCCUUCGGGAGAAAGAUUUAUCGGAGAUGGAUGAGCCCGCGUUGGAUUAGCUAGUUGGUGGGGUAAAGGCCUACCAAGGCGACGAUCCAUAGCUGGUCUGAGAGGAUGAUCAGCCACACUGGGACUGAGACACGGCCCAGACUCCGACGGGAGGCAGCAGUGGGGAAGAUUGGACAAUGGGCGCAAGCCUGAUCCAGCCAUGCCGCGUGAGUGAUGAAGGCCCUAGGGUUGUAAAGCUCUUGCACCGGUGAAGAUAAUGACGGUAACCGGAGAAGAAGCCCCGGCUAACUUCGUGCCAGCCGCCGCCGUAACAC